GAGUUUGAUCUUGGCUCAGAUUGAACGCUGGCGGCACGCCUUACACAUGCAAGUCGAACGGCAGCACGGGAGCUUGCUCCUGGUGGCGAGUGGCGAACGGGUGAGUAAUGCAUCGGAACGUAUCCUGGAGUGGGGGAUAACGUAGCGAAAGUUACGCUAAUACCGCAUAUUCUGUGAGCAGGAAAGCGGGGGACCUUCGGGCCUCGCGCUCUUGGAGCGGCCGAUGUCGGAUUAGCUAGUUGGUGAGGUAAAGGCUCACCAAGGCGACGAUCCGUAGCAGGUCUGAGAGGAUGAUCUGCCACACUGGAACUGAGACACGGUCCAGACUCCUACGGGAGGCAGCAGUGGGGAAUUUUGGACAAUGGGGGCAACCCUGAUCCAGCCAUGCCGCGUGAGUGAAGAAGGCCU
rnacentral:rRNA from 2 species